CUGCUGGAAUUGGCAGCACAUAUACUAAAAUUGGAACGAUACAGAGAAGAUUAGCAUGGCCCCUGCGCAAGGGUGACCAUGAAUUUAAAGUGACGUCAUUCAACAUGCUU
rnacentral:snRNA from 1 species